GACGAACGCUGGCGGCGUGCCUAAUACAUGCAAGUAGAACGCUGAAGCGAGGAGCUUGCUCUUCUUGGAUGAGUUGCGAACGGGUGAGUAACGCGUAGGUAACCUGCCUUGUAGCGGGGGAUAACUAUUGGAAACGAUAGCUAAUACCGCAUAACAAUGGAUGACACAUGUCUUUUAUUUGAAAGGGGCAAUUGCUCCACUACAAGAUGGACUUGCGUUGUAUUAGCUAGUAGGUGAGGUAAUGGCCCACCUAGGCGACGAUACAUAGCCGCCCUUGGAGGGGGGACGGCCAAACUGGGACUGGGACCAGGCCCAGACUCCCACGGGAGGCAGCAGGAGGGAAUCUUCGGGAAAGGGGGCAACCCUGACCGAGCAACGCCGCGUGGGGGAAGAAGGGUUUCGGAUCCUAAAGCUCCGUUGUAAGUCAAGAACGGGUGUGGUAGUGGAAAGUUCACACUGUGACGGUAGCUUACCAGAAAGGGACGGCUAACUACGUG
rnacentral:rRNA from 1 species